ensembl:lncRNA
AGAUUCUUCUGGUAAUUUCCUGUUGUUUGGCAUCUUCGGGUUACUUUCCCACAAUUACGGCUGCUGUUGAAGUCUGGGGCCCUUGGAAGUCAUUUUCUAACUCUCUUCUUGCCCUUUUCUGUCAUCCCACCGGGCAAGCAGCCUCUCACCCGCUGCCUCUAAGAAACGGGACAAUCAAAGUCUGAAACCAAGUGAAAAAAGUAGUUCAGGAGUUGUGGAUAUUCCACCCCCCACCCCCCUGCCUUUCCCAGAUGUUUGAAUUUAAUCCCCUCGCAAAAUACAUAUUUUAAUGAGUCUGAAUUUAAAAGAGGGGGAAAAAUGAUUUGCACCUGCAUCAUAUAGAGUUUCUUGGCAACCGCCGGCCAGAAUUCUGGUUCCUUCUGAUUCUCCAACGUACAAGUUGGAAGACUUCCUUGUGUUGUCCAGGAAUAUCUCAUCUCAGUGAAGCUGGGUCAGCUGGUUCUCCUGCUGGGAUUGAUUGACUCCAGUUGAACAGGGACCAAGAGGGGGCAAUCCCCAAACAAGAUUGGGUGUCAUUGCAAUGUCCCUUGCCUUAAAAAAAAAAAUGCCUCUGCUUCCCAGGUGGUGCUAGUGGUAAAGAGCCCGCCUGCCAAUGCAGGAGACUUAAGAGACAUGGGUUCGAUCCCUGGGUUGGGAAGAUCCCCUGGAGGAGGGCAUGGCAACCCACUCUAGUGUUCUUGCCUGGAGAAUUCCAUGGACAGAGGAACGUGGAGGUGGUGGCUCCCCUGGCAGAAGAGCCAAGGCCAUCCUGACUCUCAGAGGAAACUGACUUCUCCCUAACAGCUGAGCGGACUCAUUGAUUCAUGAAAACAGGAACUGUUAGAAGAAACCUCCAGGUUCUCAGAACCACAUCUCUAUGCUUCCCUACAUCUCUGUCCACACGCACCACCUUCUCUUCUGUUGCUUUGGAAGAACGGACUCAAAGCCACCCCUCCACUGACACACUUGAUGUCAUCUCUGAUCGACUCAAAGUACCAUCCCAGGAACUCUACCCUCGCUGUCCUAUGUAUCCAUUUCCAUCUCCUGGACUUUCCAUCAGAACACAAAUAUAAUUUUAUUUAUCUUUCUUUGGACUUCGCUGGUGAUCCAGUGGCUAAGACUCUGAGCUUCCAAUGCAGUGGGUCCGGGUUCCAUCCCUGGUCAGGGAACUAGAUCACACGUGCCUCAUCUAAAGAUCCCAUGUGCUGCAGCUAAGACCCGGCGUAGCCAAGUAAAUAAGUAAA